UACGAAGGGGGCUAGCGUUGCUCGGAAUUACUGGGCGUAAAGCGCACGUAGGCGGCUUUCUAAGUCGGGGGUGAAAUCCUGGAGCUCAACUCCAGAACUGCCUUCGAUACUGGCGAUCUUGAGUCCGGAAGAGGUGAGUGGAACUCCUAGUGUAGAGGUGGAAUUCGUAGAUAUUAGGAAGAACACCAGUGGCGAAGGCGGCUCACUGGUCCGGUACUGACGCUGAGGUGCGAAAGCGUGGGGGAGCAAACAGGG
rnacentral:rRNA from 1 species